GCUUUCACAUGCAAGUCGCACGAGAACGCUUCUGCUUGCAGAAGCUAGUAAAGUGGCGCACGGGUGAGUAACGCGUGGGUAAUCUACCUCUGAAUUGGGGAUAACACUGCGAAAGCGAUGCUAAUACCAAAUAAUAUUUCUUUGUCUGGGGAUAGAGAAAUCAAAGAUGGCCUCUCCAUGGAAGCUAUCGUUUAGAGAUGAGCCCGCGUCCCAUUAGCUUGUUGGUGGAGUAAAAGCCUACCAAGGCAACGAUGGGUAGCUGGUCUGAGAGGAUGAUCAGCCACACUGGAACUGACACACGGUCCAGACUCCUACGGGAGGCAGCAGUGAGGAAUUUUGCGCAAUGGGGGAAACCCUGACGCAGCAACGCCGCGUGAGUGAUGAAGGCUCUCGGGUCGUAAAGCUCUGUCAAGUGGGAAGAAAAUAUGUAGCAACAAUACAGCUAUGUACUGACGGUACCACUGAAGGAAGCACCGGCUAACUCCGUGCCAGCAGCCGCGGUAAUACGGGGGGUGCAAGCGUUAUUCGGAAUCACUGGGCGUAAAGAGCGCGUAGGCGGUUUGGUAAGUCAAGUGUGAAAGCCCGGGGCUUAACCUCGGAAGUGCAUUUGAUACUGCCAAACUUGAGUAUGGGAGAGGGAAGUGGAAUUCCUGGUGUAGCGGUGAAAUGCGUAGAUAUCAGGAGGAACACCGGUGGCGAAGGCGACUUCCUGGACCAAUACUGACGCUGAGGCGCGAAGGCGUGGGGAGCAAACAGGAUUAGAUACCCUGGUAGUCCACGCAGUAAACGUUGUUCACUAGGUGUAGCGGGUAUUGACCCCUGCUGUGCCCGCAGUAAACGCAAUAAGUGAACCGCCUGGGAAGUACGGCCGCAAGGUUAAAACUCAAAGGAAUUGACGGGGCCCCGCACAAGCGUGGAGCAUGUGGUUCAAUUCGACGCAACGCGAAGAACCUUACCUGGGGUUGACAU
rnacentral:rRNA from 1 species